AGUGAACGCUGGCGGCAGGCCUAACACAUGCAAGUCGAACGGCAGCACAGAGGAGCUUGCUCCUUGGGUGGCGAGUGGCGGACGGGUGAGGAAUACAUGGGAAUCUGCCCAAUCGUGGGGGAUAACGUAGGGAAACUUACGCUAAUACCGCAUACGACCUACGGAUGAAAGCGGCGGACCGCAAGGCGUCGCGCGAUUGGAUGAGCCCAUGUCGGAUUAGCUAGUUGGCGGGGUAAAGGCCCACCAAGGCGACGAUCCGUAGCUGGUCUGAGAGGAUGAUCAGCCACACUGGAACUGAGACACGGUCCAGACUCCUACGGGAGGCAGCAGUGGGGAAUAUUGGACAAUGGGCGCAAGCCUGAUCCAGCCAUGCCGCGUGAGUGAAGAAGGCCCUCGGGUUGUAAAGCUCUUUUGUCCGGAAAGAAAAGCUUUCGGUUAAUACCCGGAAGUCCUGACGGUACCGGAAGAAUAAGCACCGGCUAACUUCGUGCCAGCCGCCGCAGUAAAAC
rnacentral:rRNA from 1 species